UACGUAGGUGGCAAGCGUUAUCCGGAUUUAUUGGGUGUAAAGGGCGUGUAGGCGGAGGCGCAAGUCAGAUGUGAAAGCCCGGGGCUCAACCCAUAGCCUGCAUUUGAAACUGUAGUUCUUGAGUACUGGAGAGGCAGGCGGAAUUCCUGGUGUAGCGGUGAAAUGCGUAGAUAUCAGGAGGAACACCGGUGGCGAAGGCGGCCUGCUGGACUGUAACUGACGUUGAGGCUCGAAAGCGUGGGGAGCAA
rnacentral:rRNA from 1 species